rnacentral:rRNA from 1 species
UACGAAGGCAGCAGUGGGGAAUAUUGCACAAUGGGCGCAAGCCUGAUGCAGCCAUGCCGCGUGUAUGAAGAAGGCCUUCGGGUUGUAAAGUACUUUCAGUCGUGAGGAAGGUGUUAAGGUUAAUAACCUUAGCAAUUGACGUUAGCGACAGAAGAAGCACCGGCUAACUCCGUGCCAGCAGCCGCGGUAAUACGGAGGGUGCGAGCGUUAAUCGGAAUUACUGGGCGUAAAGGGCACGCAGGCGGUUAAUUAAGUUGGAUGUGAAAUCCCCGGGCUUAACCUGGGAAUGGCAUUCAAGACUGGUUAGCUAGAGUCUUGUAGAGGGGGUAGAAUUCCAUGUGUAGCGGUGAAAUGCGUAGAGAUGUGGAGGAAUACCGGUGGCGAAGGCGGCCCCUGGACAAAGGCUGACGCUCAUGUGCGAAAGCGUGGGGAGCGAAAC